AACGAACGCUGGCGGCGUGCCUAACACAUGCAAGUCGAACGGGAGGGCGGGCUUCGGCCCGCUAGUACAGUGGCAGACGGGUGAGUAACACGUGGGUAACCUGCCCGGAGGUGUGGAACAACCAUCCGAAAGGAUGGCUAAUACCGCAUAAUGCCCCAGGAUCUUCGGGUCUUGGGGCCAAAGCUAGCCUCUACAUGUAAGCUGGCGCCACCGGAGGGGCCCGCGGCCCAUUAGCUAGUUGGGAGGUAACGGCUCACCAAGGCUACGAUGGGUAGCCGGCCUGAGAGGGUGAUCGGCCACACUGGAACUGAGACACGGGUCCAGACUCCUACGGGAGGCAGCAGUGAGGAAUCUUGCGCAAUGGGGGAAACCCUGACGCAGCGACGCCGCGUGGA
rnacentral:rRNA from 1 species